UCUCUUCCCAAUCAUCAAGCAUGCUAUUUGCCUCAAGCUGCAGUUCAUUGCCAAACAUUGAAAAUUAAUUUUGAAUAUAUAAAAAAAAGCCAAACAUCCUAUCUUUUUCAAGAGACACAGGCAUUUACAGGAAGAAACAUUGUAAAAUUAAAAGAUGGCAUGGCAGUCACUUGACAGCUAUUCGAGGACUAUGAGUUCUCAGAAUCAUUAGCAGACGGUAUAGAGAAGGCUUAAAA
rnacentral:misc_RNA from 1 species